rnacentral:lncRNA from 1 species
CUUAAACCCCUUGUCUGUCCUUGUUUGUCCCCUCUGUGUUUAGCCCCUUGUGGGUUGUAAAGAAAUAGGUAUUUUGGCAGCUGCUACGUUCUGAGUUCAAAUUCUGCCGAGGUCGACUUUGCCUUUCAUCCUUUCGGGGCCGAUAAAUAAAGUACCAGUUUUGCCCUGGGGUCGAUGUAAUCGACUUAAUCCCUUUGUCUGUCCUUGUUUGUCCCCUCUGUGUUUAGCCCCUUGUGGGUUGUAAAGAAAUAGGUAUUUUGUCAGCUGCUACGUUCCGAGUUCAAAUUCUGCCGAGGUCGACUUUGCCUUUCAUCCUUUCGGGGCCGAUAAAUAAAGUACCAGUUUUGCACUGGGGUCGAUGUGAUCGACUUAAUCCCUUUGUCUGUCCUUCUUUGUCCCCUCUGUGUUUAGCCCCUUGUGGGCAAUAAAGAAAUAUAUAUAUAUAGGCGCAGGAGUGGCUGUGUGGUAAGUAGCUUGCUUACGAACCACAUGGUUCCGGGUUCAGUCCCACUGCAUGGCACCUUGGGGAAAGCGUCUUCUACUAUAGCCUCGGGCCGACCAAUGCCUUGUGAGUGGAUUUGGUAGACGGAAACUGAAAGAAGCCCGUCGUAUAUAUGCAUAUAUAUAUGUGUGUAUGUGCGUGUUUGUGUGUUUGUACCCCCCCCCAACAUCGCUUGACAACCAAUGCUGGUGUGUAUUCGUCCCCGUAACUUAGCGGUUCGGCAAAAAGAGACCGAUGAAAUAAGUACUAGGCUUACAAAGAAUAAGUCCUGGCGUCGAUUUGAUCGACUAAAGGUGGUGCUCCAGCAUGGCCACAGUCACAUGACUGAAGCGAGUAAAAGAGUAAAAGAGUGUGUAAAUAGAUUUUUUUUCUUUUGCUUUUGUUUUCUGUGUCUGACCGCUGCUAUAAUUAAAACUUAUCUUUUCUGUUCCAGGGUCUGCUACAAAUGUCUGCCUUAUAUUGGAUUGGAAACCACGACGGCGUGUUUUGGAAAGUGUAGCCAUCAAAUCGAUUACAGCAGCAAUAACUAAUACUACUACUACUACUACUACUACGUCUGAAGACUACUGGCCAAGCUUCAUCUCUUUGGAAUACUUUGUGUGUGCCUUGGCAUAGAUCAGUGCUUUUCAAACUUUUUGCUGGAGCGGAACCCCAAGGAAACAUUCCACUGGCUCGAGGAACCCCUGUGCAAUAAUUUAAUAGUCUUAUGCACACAUAUCGGCACAGGAGAAUUAAAAAUUACUGCCGAUUUUAGCAGUUUUGUAACUUCUUGCGGGACCCCUGGACUGUACUGGCGGAACCCUAAGGUUCCACGGAACCCUGGUUGAAAACCACUGGCAUAGAUACACCUACACACAUACAUACAUACAUAGAUACAUACAUAGAUACAUACAUACAUACAUAUAUAUAUACAUACGCACAUACAUACAUAUAUACAUACGCACAUAUAUAUAUAUAUACAUACGCACAUACAUAUAUACAUAUGCAUAUACAUAUAUACAUACGCACAUACAUACUACGGCGGAUUUUUUUUUAAUUGACACCUCAUUUGCGUGACCCUCGUUCAACCAAUACCCUUACCUCAGUGUGAGCGAAAAUUGUGUUGAACACCUGAAAAAAAUAUAUAUAUUUACCCAAGGAACUGGCCAGCAUCCAUGUCCUCCGGGGGCCAGUGUUACUCCUGUGGGGCCGAAUUUGGCAUUUUCAGGAAAGAACAUGGAUGCAAAAACUGUGGCUUCGUCUUCUGUUCGAAGUGUCUGGGUAAGAAGAUUGAAGUGCCUCGUCUAAACAAUAGCAAGGGUUCCGUGUGCAACCGGUGUUUUAGCCUGCUUAAGGGCGGCCUGAAGACCAGCAGCCCUCCCUCUAGUGGCCCGUCGACGCCCCAACAGUUUCCUCCAUCGCCUCCACUUGCCUACAAGAAACGGAUAGAAGCCCUGAAGGUGAGAGAAUCGCAGACGUCUGCUCAUUCGAAUACAUCCAUGAAGAAGCCCACUUUGGUACCGGCCAUGUACCAUGGUAUGUCGAAAGCAGACAUCGAGAUAGCCGAGAGACUUGAGAGGCUGCGCGAGAGACCGAAGUGCGAAGUCGAAACGGCAGAGCAGCUGGAAGACAGGCUGGCGGCUGUCAAGGGGAUGGACCCAUCCCGUUACAAGGAGUCCAAGAACAACAAGAGUGUGGUGUUGAAAAGCGACCGGCGGACGCAACAAGAACAAAUCGACGACCUGCUGGAGGAGAUUGCCUCGUCUGUGGCACUUGAAGCCAGCCUGCCCGACCCCGAUGCCAUCAUACAACAGCGCCUUGAUCAACUGCGGCAAGAUGACGACCAACACCACCGACACCGCAAGAAAAGCAACGACGACGACGAUGACAGUGGUGGUGGCGGCGGCGGCGGUGGUGGUGGUGGUGGUGGCGUCGGCGGCGGCGGCGGUGGUGGUGGUGGUGGUGGCGGCGGCGGCUCCCGCAUCAGCUCUGAUAACACCAACAGCUCCGCUAAUUCUAGUAUGACAUCCACUUCAAACACCACCACCACCCCCACCAUAAAUCUUUCAUCUGUCACCACCAUCAGCAGCAGCAACAACAACAAUAACAACUACAACAACAGUCAGAUCGGUGCUCUGCCGCUUGGUCGAACGUCGACCGACAACUUGUUGUCGUCGUCCCCUUCUGCGCGCAAACCAACACCACCCUCGAACCGGGCGACGUAUUUAAAAGACACUUCGGUGACCACCAACACCAAUGCCACAAGAGCAGAGGCGAAGGGCAACACGGGUAAUACUAACACCAACACUAACACUCUGAGUCUGUCCGAAUUUCUAAGCAACAAUCUCAACAAGGCUUCCUGCGGCCCCGACAAGCAACCUUACGAGAAGAACAUCAACUUCGGCAGCGACCCGACGUACGAAGGAUUCGAUGCGGUCAACAUCAACGCCUUGAUGACCGAGGUGAAACAGGUGAAGGAGGAGGUGGAGCGGAACUUGAAGCGGUCGGGCUCGGACAACGUGAUGAGGGCUGGCGACCGCAAGUCCUGGAAGAACUUCGACUACACAGAGGCCGACCUGCAGAAAGAGGCGGACGAGGUGGCUCGGCGCUUGACCGCCGAGGCCCUCCGAGAGAAGGAGGAUGAAGAGAAAAGCAACAAGCUGUAGUAUGUGGUGUGACACACAGACACACACGUGUGUACAUGUGUAUGCAUAUACACACAUACACACAUUUAAUAUAUAAUACAUAUAUAAUCCUGCCUAUAUUAUAUAACAUAUAUAAGUAUAUAUAUAUAUAUAUACACACUUACAUAUAAGACCAAAGGGGCACGGGCGCUGCUAUAUAUACAUAUAUAUGCAAAAAAGUUUACAAACUGGGGCAAGAACGCAAAACAUUUAGAAGACGAUACAAAAAACACGGACGGGACACUCGAAGCCUUCAAUCUUCAGUCAAGAACCGGAUCAUCCUCGCAAUUUCGGCUGAUUAAUCAGAUUAAUCAAUAUUAAUCAGAUUAAUCAAGAUUAAUCAGCC